rnacentral:rRNA from 1 species
GGAGUUAGCCGGUGCUUCUUCUGUGAGUGAUGUCCUUCCUGCCGGCUAUUAACCCGCAGGCCUUCUUCCUCACUGAAAGUGCUUUACAACCCGAAGGCCUUCUUCACACACGCGGCAUGGCUGGAUCAGGGUUGCCCCCAUUGUCCAAUAUUCCCCACUGCUGCCUCCCGUAGGAGUCUGGGCCGUGUCUCAGUCCCAGUGUUGCUGAUCAUCCUCUCAGACCAGCUACGGAUCGUCGCCUUGGUGAGCCGUUACCUCACCAACCAGCUAAUCCGACAUAGGCUCAUCCGAUAGCGCGAGGCCCGAAGGUCCCCCGCUUUCCCCCGUAGGGCGUAUGCGGUAUUAGCCUGGGUUUCCCCAGGUUAUCCCCCACUACCGGGCAGAUUCCUAUGCAUUACUCACCCGUCCGCCGCUCGCCACCAGGGAGCAAGCUCCCCGUGCUGCCGCUCGACUUGCAUGUGUUAGGCCUGCCGCCAGCGUUCAAUCUGAGCCAUGAUCAAACUCUGA